AAGUCGUAACAAGGUUUCCGUAGGUGAACCUGCGGAAGGAUCAUUGACGAACAAACGGGGCCCUCGCCCCUUGUCCACAAACAUACCCCCAGUGCACAUCGAGGCUCGUUGAGUGGCUGGACGACCGGUCCAGGAUCCGCUAGCCGUCGCGUUCUUACAUCAAACAUUCUAGAAUGUAUAUCGGAAUGUCUUACGCGUUGUAACGCAUCGUAAUAUAA
rnacentral:misc_RNA from 1 species